UCAGUGGGGGGAGGAUGACGGAAGGGUGAUUCAUGCAGAAUAGAAAAUUGGGACACUGCCUAGCCAUGGAAACAAAGAUAAAUUUGAAUCCAUGCCUAACAUCUUACGCCAGUGUCGUAGUUACUAUAACUGCUGCAUCAGCAUUCGUUUUUCGGCCAGAUUUCAGUUGUCUGCAAGCCGGUCCUGCCCCAUUUCUUUUUUCCUAAUUAAAUCUUCCUUGCCUGUGCGGGUGGUUGUGUUUCAGCCUACUUGUUCCAAAUUUCGCUGACCCCACCCAAACACAUUCCACAGCAGCAUAAAAGAUCAAAGCCAGUAAACGGGCAGCCCCCGUGGGAAAGCAGGAAGUGUAUUGCUUAAUCCCGCAGCCUUUAAUAAAGACUUCACAUCAGAUCUCGCCUAGACCAUGGCUUUCAAGGUUCUCAAGAGCAAAUUAGAAACCACUGUAACAAUAGAAACCACAGCAGCCAGAGUGAGUUCCAACGGAGAAAACCCCGAUUACUAAAGCUGAUAAUCAUGAAAGAACCGGGAGAAGUCACUGAAGAAUGAUGGCGGGACCUCAGAACGGAAAAGUCGUAUUUAUGAAGAACACCCAGAAUCCAGGAAAGGAUUCGUGGCUCCAAACAGACCAAGACCAGCAGAAGCCAGCAAACUGGAAGGAAGAGGCAUUUAUCUGCUGGGUGAGUGGAAGAGAAGCUGGUAUCACCAGAGUCACCAGAGGAUCUGGCUCCCAAAUCAGAAUGAAGAUGGCGUUGGUCCUUUCUUGUUUUCCCAGCUAUUUCACAAUUUAUGGAUAAAGGCUGUCUGCGCUCUGGGCUUGUGUUUGGUAAGUAACCCAGCCAGCUCUUUCCCCUGCCUCCCUAUCUUACAUCUCUCACUCUAGCCAUCCACUCUAUAGAAUUCUGUAUCCUGCAUUUGACAAGACAUGAAGCUUGACUUACUUUGGGCAACUUAUGGACCAAGAGAAACUCACCAUAUACACAACCUUUCUCCCUAAAGACACAAGUCUAGUCUGCGGCAGAAGCAAGAAGCAGAAAAUCUCACUCUGCAUAAGUCUGAACCAUUUUCCCCAGUGGAACCAGUUUGAAGCCCUGUUGUACCUUAGACCAUAUGUCUGAUACUUGAAGCACUGUUUGCCUUUUAUUAGCUGUAUCUAGAAUUGUUAGACUACAGAGCAGGAGGAAAUUGUAUUAACAAGGCUCCUACAAACCUCCAACAUCCACCACAGAGCAUAAACCCUUUCUUCCCUGUAUGAAAGGCAAGACAAGCUGUUCACCUGUCUGCCUAGCAAAGUCAUAUGAACCUACCAAUUGUGCUAGAGGCUCUGGAAGGAGGGACAUCAUGGCUAUUUGUCUAUAGCUUAGAGCGUUGGAUAGGCAGCCUACACGAUGAGCAUCAAUGUCCUGAACCUGGAUGUGCUGUGCACUGGAGUCAGUCAAACUCCAGUUUCAAUUUUUAACUCCUCAAGCUGGUGUGUGUGUAACUCAAGUAAGCUGCUUGAGUUCUCUGACGCUCCUCUUCCUUUAUCAACAAAUACAAAUGGUUAUUCUUUCCUUGUGAGUUUUGCGUUUAAGAUUAUUUUAAAUCAUGUACAACACUUGGCACAUAGUCCACAUUCAGUACGUGAGCCUAGAAGUCUAGGUAUAUAUGGUACUGUGAGAAAUUACCCUUGAAUCCAUAGGACCCUGCCUGCUCCAGAACAGGAUAGGCAGCCUCAUGCCAAGAGCUGCCUUCCUGAGUGCUUGUCUCCUGCUUGCUACAGGCAUGUGGUGCUGAGAGUGAUCUGAAUAGCAAGAGGCUUUUUAGAACCAUCAGGAGGAAGGCAAAUAUGGCCACAUGAGCUCUUAAUCCAUUGGUCUUUGGGUGGUAAUAAAGUUCUUGAGAGGAUCUGGCACAGUGAAGAGAGAGUGCCGCCAGAAGUGGCUUUCAGUGACAGCUUCUCAACCAAGGAGCAAGAAAAGCUGGCAGGGGUAGGGUAACACUGGCAGGCAUGAUGUAUGAAAAGAUUCUUAAGUGCCAGUAGACAUUUCUAAUGCCUGCCUUAUGAUUUGCAUGCACCCUGUCUCCCACUGGCUCUUGUAUUGAAACAGUUGGUCCUGAGGUGGUGACGGUAUUUAUGGAGACUGUGAGAUCUAGGAAAGCCUAGGGGAAUUGCUAGGGUGCAGAACUUGGGAAUCAGCUCAACCCUACUUCUGGGCCCAGUCUCUCUGAUGGACUGCAUCCUCUGGACUUGUAGACAAGAUAGAUCUUCCAUAUCUUUAGUUGUUUCUUAUCAGAUAUUUGGGCAAUUAGGAAAAUUAGCUAAGGCAGUAUUCCUGAGUCAGUUCAGCAUGGCCUUGCCCUGAACCAGUUGUAGCUGGCAGCAGCUGUAGCACGGAACACUCACAACUUCGGGAGCUGCACUGGGGACCACUAAUAGGAGCUUUGUAUAAACAAUGGCAAUGCAGUGCACGGUUCAGGGCCAAGGCUCUGUGAACCAUUAGGUAGGAGGGCUCAAGGAUACAGGAUGGUAGUGACUAUCAACAUCUCCAUUGUUUUGAUCCAUGAGUGUGUCAGUUCCUUAGGACUUCUGUAAUAAAGGAUGACGCAGACAACUAAACUUACUUCCUCACAGUUCUGAGGAGGAAAAGGCCAAGGUCAAACUGUUGACAAAGUAGGGUGACAAAGACUUCACUGCCUGAAGUCUGUAGGGGAAAAUCUGUCCCAUGAUUCUCUUCUAGUUUCUGCUGGUUUUCUCACAAUUUUUGUCUUCCUUAGCUUUGCUUUGUAUCUUCCUAUGUGGGCGUCUUCCUCCGUCUUCAAAGUUCCCCCUUUUCCGAGACUGUCGGUCACACUGGACUAGCACCAUCCUAAUAAUUACAUUUUAGCUUGACCUUCCCCCCCCCCCCACAAAGCCCCAACUUUCAGAUGAGCUAAUCCUGUGAGGUAGUGGCAGUUGGGACAUUGACAUAUCUUUUCAUCGACAUGCCUUUUCAGGGGAACUCAGCAACAAGCUGGCCCCAGAAGCAGCAGUUGGCCAUUAAAGGUCUCUGGGAUUAUGUGACAUUAGUCUGGAAUGCCACUUCUGUAAGGGUUUCGUUCUCACCCCACUGGGAGGACGAUGCACCCAGGCAUACACAAAGUGACAUUUAAAAUGUUCCAGACAGAUAUGAGAAUUACCCAGUCUAAAUGUCUAAAUAAUAAUGUUUUAUGCUUUACCCAAAAACAGCUCUAAGAAAGAUGGGUCACGGGCAUCAGAUAUAAAUUAUUUUUAAGAAUUGUUUUAGCAAACCCCGUGGGAGAGAGACCUCACCGCCUGAUCAGGUGGGCACUCCUGAGGCUGCAGAGCGGAGGAGACCACCAACACUGCCCACCCCUGCCCACAUCCCUGGCCCAAGAGGCAACUGUAUAAGGCCUCUGGGUUCCCGUAGGGGAGGGCCCGGGAGCGGCAGGACCCCUGCGCCUGAGACACUGCCGGAACCUGAAGGAAACAGACCGGAUAAACAGUUCUCUGCACCCAAAUCCCGUGGGAGGGAGAGCUGAACCUUCAGAGAGGCGGACACGCCUGGGAAACCAGAAGAGACUGCACUCUGUGCACAUCCAGGCGCCAGAGGAAAACACCAAACGCCAUCUGGAACCCUGGUGCAUGGAGGCUCCCGGAAAGAGCGGCGCAGAUCUUCCCGGUUGCUGCCACAGCGGAGAGGACUUAGGCAGUACCCCACGAGCAAACUUGAGCCUUGGAACUGCAGGUAGGACCAACUUUUCCCCUGCAAGAAACCUGCCUGGUGAACUCAGGACACACAGAGGCAAAAUUCCUCUAAGGCCGGGCACUUCCUGUGUUUACCGGAAGUCCCACACCGGCGGAUCCCGGACCACAGCAGCUCCCUGCUCCCAAACCCCGUGGGAGAGAGACCUCACCGCCUGAUCAGGUGGGCACUCCUGAGGCUGCAGAGCGGAGGAGACCACCAACACUGCCCACCCCUGCCCACAUCCCUGGUCCAAGAGGCAACUGUAUAAGGCCUCUGGGUUCCCAUAGGGGAGGGCCCGGGAGCGGCAGGACCCCUGCGCCUGAGACACUGCCGGAACCUGAAGGAAACAGACCGGAUAAACAGUUCUCUGCACCCAAAUCCCGUGGGAGGGAGAGCUGAACCUUCAGACAGGCGGACACGCCUGGGAAACCAGAAGAGACUGCACUCUGUGCACAUCCAGGCGCAAGAGGAAAACACCAAACGUCAUCUGAAACCCUGGUGCACGGAGGCUCCCGGAAGGAGCGGCACAGAUUUUCCCGGUUGCUGCCACAGCGGAGAGGACUUAGGCAGUACCCCACGAGCAAACUUGAGCCUUGGAACCACAGGUAGGACCAACUUUUCCCCUGCAAGAAACCUGCCUGGUGAACUCAAGACACAGGCCCACAGGAACAGCUGAAGACCUGUAGAGAGGAAAAACUACACGCCCGAAAGCAGAACACUCUGUCCCCAUAACUGGCUGAAAGAAAACAGGAAAACAGGUCUACAGCACUCCUGACACACAGGUUAUAGGACAGUCUAGCCACUGUCAGAAAUAGCAGAACAAAGUAACACUAGAGAUAAUCUGAUGGCGAGAGGCAAGCGCAGGAACCCAAGCAACAGAAACCGAGACUACAUGGCAUCAUCGGAGCCCAAUUCUCCCACCAAAGCAAACACGGAAUAUCCAAACACACCAGAAAAGCAAGACCUAGUUUCAAAAUCAUAUUUGAUCAUGAUGCUGGAGGACUUCAAGAAAGACAUAAAGAACUCCCUUAGAGAACAAGUAGAAGCCUACAGAGAGGAAUCGCAAAAAUCCCUGAAAGAAUUCCAGGAAAACACAAUCAAACAGUUGAAGGAAUUAAAAAUGGAAAUAGAAGCAAUCAAGAAAGAACACAUGGAAACAACCCUGGACAUAGAAAAUCAAAAGAAAAGACAAGGAGCUGUAGAUACAAGCUUCACCAACAGAAUUCAAGAGAUGGAAGAGAGAAUCUCGGGAGCAGAAGAUUCCAUAGAAAUCAUUGACUCAACUGUCAAAGAUAAUGUAAAGUGGAAAAAGCUACUGGUCCAAAACAUACAGGAAAUCCAGGACUCAAUGAGAAGAUCAAACCUAAGGAUAAUAGGUAUAGAAGAGAGUGAAGACUCCCAGCUCAAAGGACCAGUAAAUAUCUUCAACAAAAUCAUAGAAGAAAACUUCCCUAACCUAAAAAAAGAGAUACCCAUAGGCAUACAAGAAGCCUACAGAACUCCAAAUAGAUUGGACCAGAAAAGAAACA